AGAGUUUGAUCCUGGCUCAGGACGAACGCUGGCGGCAUGCCUAACACAUGCAAGUCUAGGGGUAGCAAUACCACUGGCGCACGGGUGAGUAACACGUAGGUUAUCUGCCCCUAUCACAGACAUAACCUCGGGAAACCGAGGCUAAUAUCUGAUGAGGUCGCGAGAUCAAAGCUUCGGCGGAUAGGGAUGAGCCUGCGGCUGAUUAGCUAGUUGGUGAGGUAAUGGCUCACCAAGGCGACGAUCAGUAGCUGGUCUGAGAGGACGAACAGCCACACUGGAACUGAGACACGGUCCAGACUCCUACGGGAGGCAGCAGUGAGGAAUAUUGGUCAAUGGGAGCAAUCCUGAACCAGCAAUGCCGCGUGUGGGAUGACAGGGCUUCGCCUUGUAAACCACUGUCGGAUGGGACGAAAGGAACCCUCGGGGUUCUGGGACGGUACCAUCAAAGGAAGGGUCGGCUAACUACGUGCCAGCAGCCGCGGUAAUACGUAGGACCCGAGCGUUGUCCGGAUUUACUGGGUAUAAAGGGUGCGUANGCGGCCUUGUGCGUCAGAGGUGAAAUAUCCGGG
rnacentral:rRNA from 1 species